AUAAAAAUAAUUUUAAUUCAUUUUGAUUAAUUUUUCACUUUUUGUUUAAUUUUGAUUUGGUUUUAUUAUUUCCAAUGCUGAAUUCCCAUAUUUGUUUUCCUUAACUACACAUCAACUAAUGUGUGAAAAUUUUAUGGGUAUGAACAUGCAUUUCGUACCUAAACUCGGAAAAUUGCCAUCCUAUAUAGUAGGACUUCAGCUCAAAAGUUUCCUUCAAUUUAGGCAUCUUUUGUUAUAUUUUCUUUUCAAUUCAAAAUUUCUCUUGGAUAAAUAUUUUUGAGUGAGGCUUUAAUAUCAAAGUUUGGCAAUAUGAAAAGAAAGUAAGUACAUUUUUGAGUGAGGCUUUCACAUGUUGUCGGCCGAAAUUAAUUCCUAAAAUCCAUCAAUUAUACACGAUGCAUAUGCAUGCAUAUCAUUUUGUAGCAUCACAUGGGAUGGGCUCCAUAUUCAAACCCUUGCAUCUGCACAAAACAUCACAUCAAAAUCCAUCCAACCUAACAACUAAUUAUUUGUGGUCGAGGGACAAGGGCGGCUUUGUAGUUUGUACAUCCUUUGUUCUCUACCACUACUUCACAAUAACUAGCAGUUCACCAUUUCGGCCAUGUUAAAAGUUUAUAAGUUAAUCAAAACUCCUAAAGAUCUUUAAUUUAACUUAAUAUUUUUACUUUCAAUUUUAGUACAAAUGUUCAUCUUUAUGGACAGUAGUAUACGUUGUUAAAUUGGUAAUGUUAAAUGUUUUUCCUUUUACUUAAAUCUUAACCUUUUGUUACAAAACUCAUUUUUUCAUAUAUAUUAUGUUAGGGUUUGCUUGUUGAAAAUUCGAUUUGUGAGUUGACAUAUAGAGAGUCUAUUAUAAAACCAUGAAUUACUUCUAAAAA
rnacentral:lncRNA from 1 species